CAAGUCGAGGGGCAGCGGGGGUGCAGGCUUGCCUGCGCCUGCCGGCGACCGGCGCACGGGUGAGUAACACGUAUGGAACCUGCCCGCCACAGGGGGAUAACCCGGGGAAACCCGGCCUAAUACCCCAUGCCGCCCGGACCGGGCAUCCGGUCCGGGCGAAAGGAGGAAUCCGGUGGCGGCUGGGCAUGCGGCGCAUUAGCUUGACGGCGGGGUAACGGCCCACCGUGGCGACGAUGCGUAGGGGUUCUGAGAGGAAGGUCCCCCACACUGGAACUGAGACACGGUCCAGACUCCUACGGGAGGCAGCAGUGAGGAAUAUUGGUCAAUGGGCGCGAGCCUGAACCAGCCAAGUCGCGUGAGGGAAGACGGUCCUAUGGAUUGUAAACCUCUUUUGUCGGGGAGCAAAAGACGCCACGCGUGGCGUUCCGAGAGUACCCGAAGAAAAAGCAUCGGCUAACUCCGUGCCAGCAGCCGCGGUAAUACGGAGGAUGCGAGCGUUAUCCGGAUUUAUUGGGUUUAAAGGGUGCGUAGGCUGUGAGGUAAGUCAGCGGUGAAAUGCCCCCGCUCAACGGGGUGAAGUGCCAUUGAUACUGCCUUGCUGGAAUGCGGAUGCCGUGGGAGGAAUGUGUGGUGUAGCGGUGAAAUGCAUAGAUAUCACACAGAACACCGAUUGCGAAGGCAUCUCACGAAUCCGCGAUUGACGCUGAUGCACGAAAGCGUGGGUAUCAAACAGGAUUAGAUACCCUGGUAGUCCACGCUGUAAACGAUGAUGACUAACCGUC
rnacentral:rRNA from 1 species